UUAACCUUUCUCUUUACCAUUUGGUCAACCGAGUUGACUAUGGCCGAUCCCUUUCCAUUGGGAAGAGAAAGUUUUUCCUGGACCUCCAAUGUCACCAUUUUCAAUGUCCAAAUAGGUUUGGAAAGUAGAUCUUCCAAUCCAAUUUGUUUUACUAAUGCUCCAAAUCAUUGCUGAUUUAGCAUCAUCAAGCAAAUAGGUAAGAUCAUUAAGGGUCUUGUCGCGACCUGUCAUCAGGGAGUGACUGAAGAACCAAGUCAGCAGCCAGCUACCUCGAGACUUCGACACCCGACUCUCCCGACUUGUCAAUAUGUGGCUUAAUCCCCAAGAUCUAAGCACAUAUAGACUUUGCUUGCCAAUAGGGAUUGAGUGACUUAGAACUUAUCAAGUCUUAAAACUUGUGGGGUAGGGAGAUUUAUUCGAGGAGGUGGAUGAAGUGAAGUAUGAUUUCUAGUUCCACAAAUGCCCAACAAAUGGAUUGAUCUUUCACCUUGAUUGCCAUUUGGGAUAUCAUCUUUAUUAGGAAGCUUGUUCCUAAAGAUUUGGGAAGACCAUAGCUGUCUAAUCUAGACAUCUAUAAUGGGAGAAAUACAAGUUAGUUGAUUUAAAGUCCUUAAUAUAACACCCAAUAUGAAAUAUUAAGGCUAGGACCCAACAACCUAUUUAUAACUGGAAGAGGGAUGCCGUAAUCNUUUUCACAAAUGCCAUUGUAAGGCUACUUAAAAUAAAUAAAUUCAAAACCAUUUUUCUUUUAUUUUAAAACUUUGCGGAAAUAUUUAUCCUUACAAUCCAUAUGGAAAACUUGUUGUUAUCUAUUCCUAAGCAAUAUAUCAUAACUCUUAAGUAACAACUCAAAAUUCUGAUCACCGAACCAUGCGAUCGAAAUCCAUCUUCGCGAUCAGAAUCAGCAUAUACUUCCUUUAAGUUUCUUCACCUUUUCUUUGAUUCUUAAAACAUCAACAUGUGACCUCGUCACAUUAUGCAAUAAGAAUCUCAGAAUAGAAACUUAAUAGAGUUAGACAAUGGACUUUACCUGAAGUAGAGUCAAACCUAUUGACUUUACCAUCCUUAAGAUGUUUCAGGUAAAUUUAGCAGCUUCGCAACCAAUGUCUUUCCUUUGGCAACAGAAUCAUAUGGACUUUUUGGAAACGGUACAUGGGACUAUCACAGACUUAACCUUUCUCUUUACCAUUUGGUCAACCGAGUUGACUAUGGCCGAUCCCUUUCCAUUGGGAAGAGAAAGUUUUUCCUGGACCUCCAAUGUCACCAUUUUCAAUGUCCAAAUAGGUUUGGAAAGUAGAUCUUCCAAUCCAAUUUGCUUUACUAAUGCUCCAAAUCACUGCUGAUUUAGCAUCAUCAAGCAAAUAGGUAAGAUCAUUAAGGGUCUUGUCGCGACCUGUCAUCAGGGAGUGACUGAAGAACCAAGUCAGCAGCCAGCUACCUCGAGACUUCGACACCCGACUCUCCCGACUUGUCAAUAUGUGGCUUAAUCCCCAAGAUCUAAGCACAUAUAGACUUUGCUUGCCAAUAGGGAUUGAGUGACUUAGAACUUAUCAAGUCUUAAAACUUGUG
rnacentral:lncRNA from 1 species